AUGGAAUUGGUGGUGUAGGGGUAAAAUCCGUAGAUAUCACCAAGAAUACCCAUUGCGAAGGCGAUCUGCUGGAACUCAACUGACGCUAAGGCGCGAAAGCGUGGGGAGCAAACAGGAUUAGAUACCCUGGUAGUCCACGCCCUAAACGAUGUACACUAGUUGUUGGGAUGCUAGUCAUCUCAGUAAUGCAGCUAACGCAUUAAGUGUACCGCCUGGGGAGUACGGUCGCAAGAUUAAAACUCAAAGGAAUAGACGGGGACCCGCACAAGCGGUGGAGCAUGUGGUUUAAUUCGAAGAUACGCGAAGAACCUUACCUGGGCUUGAUAUCCUAAGAACCUUAUAGAGAUAUGAGGGUGCUAGCUUGCUAGAACUUAGAGACAGGUGCUGCACGGCUGUCGUCAGCUCGUGUCGUGAGAUGUUGGGUUAAGUCCCGCAACGAGCGCAACCCACGUAUUUAGUUGCUAACGGUUCGGCCGAGCACUCUAAAUAGACUGCCUUCGUAAGGAGGAGGAAGGUGUGGACGACGUCAAGUCAUCAUGGCCCUUAUGCCCAGGGCGACACACGUGCUACAAUGGCAUAUACAAUGAGACGCAAUACCGCGAGGUGGAGCAAAUCUAUAAAAUAUGUCCCAGUUCGGAUUGUUCUCUGCAACUCGAGAGCAUGAAGCCGGAAUCGCUAGUAAUCGUAGAUCAGCCAUGCUACGGUGAAUACGUUCCCGGGUCUUGUACUCACCGCCCGUCACACCAUGGGAGUUGAUUUCACUCGAAGCCGGAAUACUAAA
rnacentral:rRNA from 1 species